ACAAGGCAGGUUUGAGGGGGUGCUGACCCACCACGCAGUUGAAAAUCUGAGUCUUUAUAAUCCCGCUUCCUUAUCUGUGUCUAUGGCUCCUCCCAUAGACAGAGUCCUCCCAUCCUCAGAUUCAACCAACCAUGGAUCAUGUAGUACUAUAAUGUCUACUACUGAAAAUAAAAUCCUUGUAGAAGUGGAUCCAUGCAGUUCAAACCCAUGUUGUUCAAGGGUCAACUGUAGUUGGGUUGCCUGUGUGUGUGUGGGUGUGUACGUUAUGUAUAAAUGCUCUUGAUUUGGAGACGUCUGAGUAGUAGUUGAGUAUGGAUAGUCGCUAGCUCUCUGAUCAUGCUAUGCGAUCAAGUUCACAAAUAAGCUCAAUGUAUAUCCUUUAAUCCAUGUUGAUGAAUGUAUGUAUAUAUGUAUUUAACAAGAAGGGCCCACAGCAGAAGACAGCACUCAUGCCUGUUCGGUGGGAUUACUAGGUAUUUUCAUUUCCUUCUUAUGCUUAUCUGCACUUUGUAAAUGUUCUACAACGAACGCGUGUUCUGUGGCCAGAAAGAAAAGCCGCCCUUUAUUGCGUAAUCAGUGCCAUGGCAUCGACUUGAAAGGACGCGGCUCCUCCGGGGAUUAAGUGCCGGGCCUAUCUUUACUAAUGACUUAAACAAAAGGGUGGAACUUGUGCUCAUCAGAGCCUCACAUGAUGCUAAAUUUGGUGGGGUGGCUCCCACUCACAAAGCCAAGAAUAAAAUUCAAAACAACCAUGACAAAUUGAAAACACGACCCUACAAAAACUGGAGGAAAUUCAAUAGUACAAUUAGAAGGUGAAAUACUCAGGGCUUAAAAUCAGCCACCAUACGUUGAAGAUGAAGGCAGGACUGGCUCCCAGUGGGUCACCGACUGCCAGGUGGGCACCUACGAGGCGCUUGAUCCUGGACUCAGGACUGGGGCCAGACCGGGGGUUAGGAGGAAAGUCCUGGAGGCAGUUGCGGUUCACGUGACCUCACUUUCUGAAUGCAAAUGCCUAACGGAGCUGUCCGGCAGGAGGAAUGGCUCCGGGUUUGCAACACGGACAGGCCUUUGAAACCUCGGGUUGCUGACGCGUGACCUUGCUGCAGCAGGAAGUCCUCUGUCCCCCGCCGGGCUGGGCGGACACUUUAGUGUCCUGUCCUUGAGUCAGAGGCCCUCUGGGGUCUGCAGUGCGGAAGCAGAGAAGUCAGAACUUCUGGGACACGUUACAGGUUUAUGGGGACCAUCAAAUAGAAUCUUUGAAAUCUGACGCAUUUCCAGAAAGCCCAUCCUGGAAACUCCAGGGCAUCUGGUCGUCGUCAACAGGGUGCCUUGCCUUUUUCAAGGCUGCCUGGAUCCCACAGGCGGGGAAGGCCCUUGAUGUGCCCAGGCCCCCGAGUCGUCCCCCUUCUUGGAUCCACGUGGAUUCUUUACCGUCUGAACCACCAGGGGAGCCUUUCCACCCCGCGUGUGGUCACAGAGCACCAGCUUCCUGCGUUUCACAGCAACUUCCCACCAGCUACCGAUUUUACACGCACUAGUGUAUGUGUUUCAAUACUCUCUCUCAAUCCGUCCCAUCCGCUCUUGCUCCCGCUGGGUCUGUAAGUCUGUUCUCUAUGUCUGGACUUCUAUUCCUGCCCUGGCAGUCGGAUUCCUAGCCACUGGACCACUGGGGAAGUCCCGAGACUGGACCUUUGAAAGGUCGCUAAGGCAGAGGGGGUCAUGAGGUGGGUCCUCAUCCAACACGGCCGGUGUCCUUCUGGGGAGAGGAGAUGAGGACACAGACACGGCGGGGUGACCACUGGAGGACGCGGCGAGGUGGCCAUCUGCAGGCCUCGGAGAACCCUGGCAACACCUGAUCUUGGACUUCCGGCCUCCAGAACUAUGGUGCAGACUUCAGUGGGACAUCAAAUGUGCCAGAUGUUGCCAGAACAGGAACAUGGGGGAACUUGGCUGAUAGAAAUCCAAGAGCCGCACCCGCCUCCCCCACACCCCGACGAGCCGCCCAGGACCCUGACCAGGAGACCAGGAGAAAGGCAGGCUGCUGGACCCUCGAUGGACCCCGGUGGCGGAGAGGCGAGCCGGCUCAUCUCGCUGGAGGAGAAAACAGGGUCUCCUCUCUUCCCCGCGUUCCUUCCGAGACCACGCGGGGGACCGAGCGGUGGGCGUUUCAUCUCCAAUUAUUUUCAGCCAAGGGAAAAAGCAGAUGGUAAAUAACACUGAAAAAAAAAC